GAUGAACGCUGGCGGCGUGCCUAAUACAUGCAAGUCGAGCGAACAGACGAGGAGCUUGCUCCUCUGACGUUAGCGGCGGACGGGUGAGUAACACGUGGAUAACCUACCUAUAAGACUGGGAUAACUUCGGGAAACCGGAUCUAAUACCGGAUAAUAUAUUGAACCGCAUGGUUCAAUAGUGAAAGACGGUUUUGCUGUCACUUAUAGAUGGUUCCGCGCUGCAUUAGCUAGUUGGUAAGGUAACGGCUUACCAAGGCAGCGACGCGUAGCCGACCUGAGCGGAGGAUAGGCCACACUGGAACUGAGCCACGGUCCAUGCUCCUACGAGAGGCAGCAGUAGGGAAUCUUCCGCAAUGGGCGAAAGCCUGACGGAGCAACGCCGAGUGAGAGAUGAAGGUCUUCGGAUCGUAAAACUCUGUUAUUAGGGAAGAACAAAUGUGUAAGUAACUAUGCACGUCUUGACGGUACCUAAUCAGAAAGCCACGGCUAACUACGUG
rnacentral:rRNA from 1 species